GCAGAGAGGAGAUAUGGAGGAGGACACGGGAGGAUCGGAGGAAACCAUCCGAGGGAGGGCAGCUAGAUCACCGAGUGAAGACCACGGUGGCUGCAGAGAGCAGAAAGGGAAGCAGGGAAAACGUCACGGGGCAAAGCAGAAAGCAGCACUGGUUGGCAGGGGGCAGAGCGGCUCUGGGAGCCUUUCUUCGGACUUGCCACUGAGUGCAGCAGCGCAGGAGAAGAAGAGUUCGGUUUAACUGCUGGGCAAAUGAGCAGCCCUUCCAUGAGAUGGGAGGCGCAGAAGUUCUCCGUGGAUUGGGAAAGCGUUGAGUUCCGCCUUAGGUACAAGGACUGAUUGAAAGAUACGACUCCGGCAUUGUGAACCUGCUAGCUCUUUCCUAAAGUCAAAAUGACUACGAAAGGAAGACAUUGUGAAUGAACUCAGGCAUGAAAGCGGGCAGGACAACAUAACUAAAGACACCUGCGAAGGAGGACUUCCGGAACUGCUUCAGAAAGGCGCGAGAACUGCAGCCAGAGGAAAUAUUGUGAGGGUUCAUGAUAUGAAGUCGAUAAAUCUGAAGUUUAACAUGUUAAAGAAAUUAUUCUGUUUAACAGGAGUGCACAAAAAUGAUGACAAUGAUAUUAAUAAUAGCUAUGUAAUUACUGUGUGCUAGAUAUGCUACCGAGCGUUUUAGGUAAACUAUUUAAUCUUCAUAGCAACUUACCCCAAAAGUACAGAUUUUUGUUGUCCCCAUUUAUUUUACAACUGAAGACAUAGAAGAUUCAGCAAGUAUUUCCCUCAUCCAUGAGAAACAGAAAGCUUUAAUAUAUGUGGCUGUAACAAAGAC